GGUUGACCUCGGAUCAGGUAGGGAUACCCGCUGAACUUAAGCAUAUCAAUAAGCGGAGGAAAAGAAACCAACAGGGAUUGCCUCAGUAACGGCGAGUGAAGCGGCAAGAGCUCAAAUUUGAAAGCUGGCUCCUUCGGGGUCCGCAUUGUAAUUUGCAGAGGAUGCUUCGGGAGCGGCCCCCAUCUAAGUGCCCUGGAACGGGCCGUCAUAGAGGGUGAGAAUCCCGUCU
rnacentral:rRNA from 8 species